AGUGGAAUUACUGGAUCAUAUGGUAAUUCUAUUUUUAAUUAUUUGAGGAAUUUCCAUACUGUUUUGCAUAGUGGUUGUACCAUUUUACAUUUCCACCAGCAAU
rnacentral:pre_miRNA from 3 species